rnacentral:sRNA from 1 species
AGGCUGCUGAUAACCUUCAGGCUCUUUGAUGGGUUUCGAAAUAUUGUCUCCGGUCUUUGACCACGGAUGUACUGGCACUGCUCGUUGAGGCAAUUGAAAGGUCGGGGCUGCCCGACCUUUUUUAUU